GGGAAUAUUGCACAAUGGGCGCAAGCCUGAUGCAGCCAUGCCGCGUGUAUGAAGAAGGCCUUCGGGUUGUAAAGUACUUUCAGCGGGGAGGAAGGCGACGGGGUUAAUAACCCUGUCGAUUGACGUUACCCGCAGAAGAAGCACCGGCUAACUCCGUACCAGCAGCCGCGGUAAUACGGAGGGUGCAAGCGUUAAUCGGAAUUACUGGGCGUAAAGCGCACGCAGGCGGUCUGUUAAGUCAGAUGUGAAAUCCCCGGGCUUAACCUGGGAACUGCAUUUGAAACUGGCAGGCUUGAGUCUUGUAGAGGGGGGUAGAAUUCCAGGUGUAGCGGUGAAAUGCGUAGAGAUCUGGAGGAAUACCGGUGGCGAAGGCGGCCCCCUGGACAAAGACUGACGCUCAGGUGCGAAAGCGUGGGGAGCAAACAGG
rnacentral:rRNA from 1 species